rnacentral:rRNA from 1 species
CCCCUAGAUGUUCUGGGCCGCACGCGCGCUACACUGAACAGUUCAACAAGUCUUAACCUUGGCCGAUAGGUCUGGGUAAUCUUUGAACGCUGUUCGUGAUUGGGAUAGACCUUUGCAAUUAUGGGUCUUCAACGAGGAAUUCCUAGUAAACGCAAGUCAUCAGCUUGCAUUGAUUACGUCCCUGCCCUUUGUACACACCGCCCGUCGCUCCUACCGAUUGAAUGAUCCGGUGAGGCCCCCGGAAUGGGAUCACUGCCUGGUUCUCCAGAAUGAGAUCCCGUGAAGCUGUCCAAACCUUAUCAUUUAGAGGAAGGAGAAGUCGUAACA